rnacentral:misc_RNA from 1 species
AUUUUUAUUCAGUUUUUUAGCGAUGGAAUGUAAAGUUGAAAUUAAGAAAGAGGUUGAAGAGUACCAACAAAAUGAUAUACAGCUAUCCACAUCAAUAGAUGUGGAAGAUUUGAAAAAGGAAAGAGGAGAAGAUGUCCCAGUUUGCAAGCAGAUUUUGAAAGCAAGUAACUGUUUAUAAAAAUCAAAUGAAAUGUCUUUAUCAUCUUUAGCAAUCAGUCCUUCAACUUACUUUUUUAUAUCAUUUGGAAAUGAUGAAAGUUUCACGGAUUGUAAUAGGUACUUCAAAUUCAAAUGUAUUACUUAAGUUACAGAUACUUUUAAAAAUGUGUUUGGUGUGAAAAAUCAAUAAAGUCGAUUCGCUAAUCUGAGACACAACUGUGUAGUGACAUUGGUAAUUUUUUUUGUGAAGUUAGGUUGCUAGACGUGACUGAAAAUUACUACACAACCAAACAUACCUGCUGAUAGCCAAUAUUUUUAAUAUUAAACAGACAUGAAUAACAUGAACCUUACGCCAAUCAAUAAUUAUUUAUUUAAACCAAUAUAAUGUAUUGAUAACAAAUGAGAAAAUUAUUUAUUGUACAAAGUAAAAAUAUUUUGUAGAAAUAAAUUCAUGGUAGAAAUAAAUACAUAAUAGCAUGGUAAUAGUGUUA